GUUUUCUUCUGGGUCACUGGGGGCGUGAACGCCCUCUACUGGUGGGUCAGAGGACAUCCUCGUCCGAGUAGUGGGACAAUUCCACAAGAUGUAAAGGUCGUGCUGGAAGAGAAAAUCAGAACUCUGGAACUCCAGGUGGAAACCCUGCAGAGGACGCUAGCCGCUAAGGAACAGGAGCUGACAAAUUCACAACCGAAUGCGCCUCUCUCGAAGAAGGAGGGAAGUGGCAGACGGAGAAGACGAAAGAAGGGCAGAAACAGAAGGAGCGGUUAAAUGGUAACAGUUUACCAGCGCUGCAGCAGUGAGUAUGGAGUACAGUGACGUCCCAGGGGAUUAUGGGA